rnacentral:rRNA from 1 species
CCUACGGGGGGCAGCAGUGGGGAAUUUUGGACAAUGGGCGAAAGCCUGAUCCAGCAAUGCCGCGUGUGUGAAGAAUGCCUUCGGGUUGUAAAGCACUUUUGUCCGGAAAGAAAGCGCCGUGGUUAAUAGCCGUGGCGGAUGAGGGUACCGGCGGAAUGAUCACCGGCUAACUACGUGCCAGCAGCCGCGGUAAUACGUAGGGUGCAAGCGUUAAUCGGAAUUACUGGGCGUAAAAAGUGCGCAGGCCGUCCGCAAAGACGGAUGUGAAAUCCCCGGGCUUAACCUGGGAACCGCAUUUGUGACUGGCGGGCUAGAGUAUGGCAGUGGGGGGUCGAAGUCCAAGUGUAGCAGUGAAAUGCGUAGAGAUGUCGAGAAAUACCGCUGGGCAAGGCAGCCCACUGGGCCAAUACUGACGCUCAUGCACGAAAGCGUGGGGAGCAAACAGGAUUAGAUACCCCUGUAGUC